rnacentral:rRNA from 1 species
UACGUAGGGUGCAAGCGUUGUCCGGAAUUAUUGGGCGUAAAGAGCUCGUAGGCGGUCUGUCGCGUCGGCUGUGAAAUCUCAGGGCUCAACCCUGAGCCUGCAGUCGAUACGGGCAGACUAGAGUCCGGCAGGGGAGACUGGAAUUCCUGGUGUAGCGGUGAAAUGCGCAGAUAUCAGGAGGAACACCGGUGGCGAAGGCGGGUCUCUGGGCCGGAACUGACGCUGAGGAGCGAAAGCGUGGGGAGCGAACAGG